rnacentral:rRNA from 1 species
UUCGCAAUGCCCGAAAGGGUGACGAAGCGACGCCGCGUGCGGGAAGAAGGCCUUCGGGUUGUAAACCGCUGUCGGGAGUUAGGAAAUGCAAGGAUGUUAAUAGCGUCCUUGCUUGACUAAGGCUCCGGAGGAAGCCACGGCUAACUCUGUAUCAGCAGCCGCGGUAAUACAGAGGCGGCAAGCGUUGUUCGGAAUUAUUGGGCGUAAAGAGCACGUAGGCGGCUGUGUAAGUCGGUUGUGAAAGCCUUCCGCUUAACGGAAGAACGGCAUCCGAUACUGCAUAGCUUGGGUGCGGGAGGGGAGAGUGGAACUUCUGGUGGAGCGGUGAAAUGCGUAGAUAUCAGAAGGAACACCGGCGGCGAAGGCGACUCUCUGGUCCGUAACUGACGCUGAGUGUGCGAAAGCUAGGGGAGCAAACGGGAUUAGAUACCCCGGUAGUCCUAGCCGUAAACGAUGGGCACUAAGUAGAGGGGUUUUA